GGAAGGAUGGCCGAGUGGUUUAAGGCACUGGUCUUGAAAACCAGCGUGGCGUCCUGCGUCACCGUGGGUUCGAAUCCCACUCCUUCCG
rnacentral:tRNA from 1 species